UACGUAGGCAGCGAGCGUUGUUCGGAGUUACUGGGCGUAAAGAGUGCGUAGGCGGUUUUCUAAGUUUGGUGUGAAAUCUCCCGGCUCAACUGGGAGGGUGCGCCGAAGACUGGAAGGCUUGAGUACGGGAGAGGUAAGCGGAAUUCCUGGUGUAGCGGUGAAAUGCGUAGAUAUCAAGAGGAACACCUGCGGCGAAGGCGGGUUGCUGGGCCGACACUGACGCUGAGGCGCGAAAGCUAGGGGAGCGAACGGG
rnacentral:rRNA from 1 species